GAUGAACGCUGGCGGCGUGCUUAACACAUGCAAGUCGAACGGUGAAGGCGGAGCUUGCUCUGCUGGAUCAGUGGCGAACGGGUGAGUAACACGUGAGCAAUCUGCCCCUGACUCUGGGAUAAGCGCUGGAAACGGCGUCUAAUACAGGAUACGAGCUGCGAAGGCAUCUUCAGCAGCUGGAAAGAACUUCGGUCAGGGAUGAGCUCGCGGCCUAUCAGCUUGUUGGUGAGGUAACGGCUCACCAAGGCGUCGACGGGUAGCCGGCCUGAGGGGGUGACCGGCCACACUGGGACUGAGACACGGCCCAGACUCCUACGGGAGGCAGCAGUGGGGAAUAUUGCACAAUGGGCGAAAGCCUGAUGCAGCAACGCCGCGUGAGGGACGACGGCCUUCGGGUUGUAAACCUCUUUUAGCAGGGAAGAAGCGAAAGUGACGGUACCUGCAGAAAAAGCGCCGGCUAACUACGUG
rnacentral:rRNA from 1 species